rnacentral:rRNA from 1 species
UACGGGGGGGGCAAGCGUUGUUCGGAAUUACUGGGCGUAAAGGGCUCGUAGGCGGCCAACUAAGUCAGACGUGAAAUCCCUCGGCUUAACCGGGGAACUGCAUCUGAUACUGGAUGGCUUGAGUUCGGGAGAGGGAUGCGGAAUUCCAGGUGUAGCGGUGAAAUGCGUAGAUAUCUGGAGGAACACCGGUGGCGAAGGCGGCCCCCUGGUUGGAUACUGACGCUGAGACGCGAAAGCGUGGGGAGCAAACAGG